rnacentral:lncRNA from 1 species
CCAAUAUUAAGUAUUGUUAACAAAAUGGAUGAAAAUAGGUCAGUGUCACCUAUUUUCGUUUUUGUUUUUUUUCUUUGAAAGCUGCAGAUAUCUUGAAAGAAAAUUAAACCACAAUGAAAAAGGUUCCAUUUUAAGUAGGAAAAAAAUUUAUUGCAGAAAAUAUCAUUUAGAUUUUAUAAAUAGUAUGUACUUUAAUUGAGCUCAUUUCUUUGGUAUCAUAAGAAUUUCAGAAUUUAGUUCAAGUGUCAGCAUUAUUAAACACUCAUCUCAAUUCUUUGGUCUGCCUUUCUUUUUUUAAAAAAAAAAACAAAGCAUUUUCUGACGAAUCACAAAAAAAAAAUUACUUAUAAAAAUAUUAAUUUCUAAAAUCUGAUUAGAAUUUGGAAACGGAGAGUAGGUUAAUAUCGUUAAUUUGAAUUCGAUGUGUCUAAAAUAUAUUUUGUCUAUGUUAGAUUUUUUACAUCCUUAAUAAUUUGAAACAGAAACAUCCUUCAAUAUAUUCAGAAAAGGAAGUAAUAGUUUCAAGAUGAAAAAAAAUUUAUAUGUACCCUUAAUUAUACAAAAAACAAGAGUAACCAUCUAACCCUAUAUCCUAUCUUCAAAAUAUAUAUUUACAUCAAAAAAUUUUGAAAUUGUAGAAAAGAAGAAAUUUUCUGUUCUGUAUAUUCUGACUCUAGUGUUCAAAACAUACAAAUUUCUAUGCCCAGGAAAAGGGCAUAAUAAAAAUAUUAGAGAAAGCUUUUUAAAAAAUCAAUACUUAAAGAGAUAAAUAAUGAACUUCUGGUGUUAUUUUGUAAAACUAUAAAAUUAUUGGAAAUUUGUACAGAACCAUGAAAUACAUAAUUUCUUUUCAAAUUGUAUUUCUCAGAAUAUUUUGCUGGGGGUGUUGGAAAUUCACAAUAAUUUAAAAUGAAGUCUUAAAUAAGUUCAACUUUGAAAACUAUAUACUUUGUUAUAGACUUAGUCUGACUUGAGAGUGAUUAUCCAUUUAAAGUACCACAAAAACAAUGGUAUACAGAUUUUCCAUGAGGAAAUAUUGGUUUACUUCUCUUUGCCUUUCCAUUGUGAUUAAGUAAUUGAAGGUGUGUUGAAAGUAUGCAGCAAAAAUUUAAACAAUCUUAAGUAUAGAACAAAAUCAAAAACAUUAUCUGUCUAUAAUAUUAUUUUGCUAUUUGUUAAAGCAUUGCAAACAUUGGUGAAAAUAUUGGCAAUGCUUUAAGAAAUCUAUUAUUAUACUGUACUGUAUACUUAUCUUUGUAAACAUAAAAAGUACAUGUAGCUAAGCUUCAAUACAUAGCCCCUAUGGAAAGAAUACAAUAGUUGUCCCACUAAGCAGUGGGUUAUAAAAAAUACAUCAGUACUAAAUAUAUCUUUAUGCUGGCAUGGAUUGGAUGAUUUCACAGGAAGUAAUGUACUCAAAGACUGCAUAGAGCAUGUCUUCUUAGGCAUGUUUUUUUUAUGACUGGAUGCCCUUCCUAAUGCCAACCAAUGUACAGCAUGAACUGGGUGCUUUUUUUUUUAUGCCACUUGUACUAUUGAGGUUGUCACACAGUUCACAGGACUACAUGCUCUAGGGUAGAGGAGAGCAGGUUCAUGCUUAGGGGGAGAAACCCAGAGCAGGUUCCUGUAAAGGGGUUUCACUGGAUGCUUACAUGUAGUAUGGGGGGAAAAGUGGUUGGAGCUAAGGGUGGAAAAUAGUCUGUAGGAAUUGCAAGACAUAAAUAAUGAUGAUAAGGUACCCAUGUGAUCCUACAAGCUGAGUAAAAAUGGGUGGGUAGUUUGCAAGAUUGUAUGGGAGGGUGAAAUAUGGGAUAGGGAAGCAGACUGCCAAAAUGGCUAGGGUUGAAGGGUGGGGGAGACAAGACCUAUGAACUGACAAUAAUAGAGGGAUGCAGAGGAGUAGGGGGUGAUGAGCAGCGAGAGUAAUAUAGAUGAUUCAGAGUCAGCUUCAUGCACAUGGAGUUGGGGAUACUGUGAGAGAGGAGGUAGAGGGAUCUGCAUGGUUACUCACAUCUACUAUAGGGGAAGACAAGGGAGAAGAGAAAAUUUUCAGUAGGAGCUGCAAGACAGAGAAUGAUGAUGAGGUACUCACAUGGACCCACAAGGCACAACUAGAGUAAAAUUGGGUGAGGUGUAGUGGUUUGUAAGACUUACAGUCCAUCAGUCUCAUAACAUAUACAUACACACACACACAUGUAUACAUAUAGAUAAAUAUUUAGAUAUAAACAUAUACAUACUUAUACACCACACACACACACACUUUAUAUAUUUAUAUAUAUAUAUAUAUAUAUAUAUAUAUAAUAUUAAUUAGAGACAAAACCACUAUUUUGCAAAACAAACAAGGAAAGACUUAAUCAAUACAUAAAAUUUUAAUAAAAAGUAAAAAAAACCGCCACUACAAUUGUUUCAUGUCUUGACAAAAUAAGAAAAUGGAGAAAUACAUCCAAAUCAAAUAUCAACUACCAGAUAAUACCCAAUCACAUACUUUAUUAAACCACCACAUAAGAAACUUUAAGGUCAAACAUAAUAAUAUAUGACAAAACAGUGUACAUAAAGGAGUGUAAGAGAAAAUAGAGGGAGAAUGAAAAAAAAACAUGGUGAAUUCAGUGGUCCAACACGGUGAAUCUAUAUAUAUAUAGAUUCACCAUGUUGGACCACUGAAUUCACCAUGUUUUUUUUUCAUUCUCCCUCUAUUUUCUCUUAUUCCUUCCUAUUGAAGAGCAUAGGCUCUAAACAUAAAAGACUUUUCCAUUCUUUCCUGAGUACCAAACUAAUACACUUACUUGUUGUUCCUACGCCUGUCUUCAUCAUUGCUUUUCUAUAAAUUUGAAAAUUUGAACUAUACAUACACACACACACAAAUUAUCUGUUGUGGUGUACAGAUAUUUUAAAUAUUAAGUAAAAAGGAGAAAGUGUCAAAAUUUUGGAAUUAUUCAUUGGCACUUUAAUCACAUUCAUUUCUGAGAAUCAUCAGAAAUGAUUUUUUAUAGAAAAUUCAUGCCUUUUAUAUAACUCUGGAAGAGAUGUUGUUUUGUCAUUUAUAUGUUUGCGCAUUUAUAUAUAUAUAUCACGUGAUCAUGUGACCGACCAGGAUAUCAGAUGUUGCUACACAUCGCUGGUCACAAUGCACUUUGCAUUGUUUUAGCCUUCAAAUGACGCCACCUUCCGGGUUAAGCGAGCAGGCCAACAGAAGAAAGAGUGAGAGAAAGUUGUGGCGAAAGAGUACAGCAGGGAUCGCCACCACCCACUGCCGGAGCCUCGUGGAGAUUUUAAGUGUUUUUGCUCAAUAAACAAUCACAAAACCCGGUCUGGGAAUCAAAACCACGAUCCUACGACUGCAAGUCCACUGCCCUAACCACUGGGCCAUUGCGCCUCCACACACACACACACACACAUAUAUAUAUAUGCAUGCAAACAUAUAUGCAUGCAUGUAUGUGCAAGCAUGUAUGUGUGGUGAAUUUUUGAAGGCUUGGUUAGAGGGGGAAAAAAAUAGAAAAAGGGAAAAGAGGAAAAAAGAAAGAGAAAGAAAGAAAGAGAAGGGAUCUUUUUUGUCUGAGAUGGAUUAUAUUUUAUUUUAUGGUCGCCAUUUCAAAUGUCAAUCUUGUUUUAGUUAUUGUUUUGAAGGCAUUUCUGUCUCUUCCCCUCUCUCUCUCUCCUCCUCUCUCUUCCUCUGAGCAUGCAUGCAUGUGUGUGAUUUCCGGACAAUGGACAGGCGUUAAAAUAAUAAAAUAACAGCAAUAAAUGAGUGAAAAAAAAUAUAUAGUGCAUGUGUUUAUUUGGCAAAAAAAUAAAUAAAUAAAAUGACCAUCCUGAAGUACAACAAUAUCUCUUUCAACACACAAUUUCACAUCAGGAAUCUUGCAAAAUAAAUUGGUAAAUGUAUAUAUAAAAGAAAAUUUAGAAAAUGAAGAUGUAGCAUUAAGAUGAUUUAUUAUUUUCAAAAAUCCAGCAUAUUCUCUUACAGCUGUUUCAAUUUAGCCUAAAAGAUUAAAUUACAGUCAUUAAAUCAUUGUAUAAGGCAAAAUCUCAUCAGAGGGGUAGAAAAGAUAUACCGUUAUGUUAUUAGAUAUUUUAGUUUCAAAUCAUUUCAGCAGACACUAAUUGAAUGUACAUAUACAUAUACAUGUGUAUUUUUUUAAAUUUUAUUUUAUCUAGUUUCAGCUCACGAGCUGUGGCCAUGCUGGGGCACCGCCAUUUGUAUGUAUGUGUAUAUAUAUAUGAUAUAUGAGAUAUGGCUGGUCCAUAGGAUUACUCUGGGUUUCACUUCCAUAAAGCGCUUAGCUUUACAGUGUUUCUUCAAACCCUAGGCCUAUGGCUUCUCUAGCAACAGAGACCAUAGGCCUAUGGUCUGAAGAAACACUGUAAAGCUAAGUGCUUUAUGGAUAUGAAACCCAGUGCAACCCCAUAGACAGGCCAUAUCUAUUUUUAUUGCUAUACUUUAUUGCUCUAUAACUUACAGUAUGCUUCUUUUUCAGAUUUAUAAUUUUUACCAACAAUAUAUAUGAAGAUAGUUGUGUGAAAAAGUGCCACACCCUAGCAGUUGAGGGAACCUGUGGAAGAGGUGGACCCAGGAAAACCUGGAACGAGGUGGUGAAGCACAACCUUUGAACUUUAGGUCUCACCGAGGAAAUGACUAGAGACCGAGACCUAUGGAAGUAUGCUGUGCAUGAGAAGAUCUGGCAGGAGAAGUGAGACCAUAACCCGUGGCCUCUACCUGGGAUGUAGCUGGUCCACUUAUGCAUACCUUUCCUUCUUGGGACACAGAAUUCUAGUUGUGAAGACCUGU